ensembl:snRNA U5 U5 spliceosomal RNA
AUAUUCUGGUUUCUCUUCAGAUCGUAUAAAUCUUUAGCCUUUUACUAAAGAUUUCCGUGGAGAGGUAUAGGCAAAUAUGUUAAUUCUCAACAGAC